AAGGAAAGAUGUAGCUGCACUUUGCAGAACAUUUAUAUUGUCUUCAGCUCCCCAGGGCUCCAGUGCCUUUCCUGGCAACUUCCCAUUCAACUCCCUUUGAAGAUGGCCUUCUUACUCAGUCUUAAUUUUCUAGGUGGAAAGACUGCAGUUUGGAAGCUCCUCCAAGGCCACUUCAUUAUCCAUGACCACAAGCUCAGCUUCCAGUCAGCCGAACAUCUGGAAGUUCAGACGUCCCAGAGAAGGACUAGGAGUCACCUCCACCACUUGCACUGUGGUUUGCCUCCAGAGAGCAGUUUAACUUCUGAAGUCUUACACCUACUGUGGAUCAUGACAUGAAGAAGAACCACUUCCUGGGGGAGGACAAACAAGAAGGCAAAACAUCAGCAUGGGACCGAGUAAGCCCUGGCAUUCAUCCACCCAGUUGGAGGAGGUGGCUUUGUCUUAGCAUCCAGCCCAGGUUUGCAUCCAGCAGGAGAGACUCACUGGCUGUCUGAAAGGAGAUAAUGUCUGGCUUUCCAUCGGCUGGGCUUCCAUGUGACAUUACAGGCCCAGAGUUUAUGCUUAUAUGAUCCUGGAAGAAUUCUAGCUAGUGAGGCCUCAGACCCAUCCUAGGAC